rnacentral:rRNA from 1 species
UCCGUAGGCGGGCAAUUAAGUCAGAGGUGAAAUCCCACAGCUCAACUGUGGAACUGCCUUUGAUACUGGUUGUCUUGAGUUACAGUGAAGUAGAUAGAAUAUGUAGUGUAGCGGUGAAAUGCAUAGAUAUUACAUAGAAUACCGAUUGCGAAGGCAGUCUACUAACUGUCGACUGACGCUAAGGGACGAAAGCGUGGGGAGCGAACAGGAUUAGAUACCCUGGUAGUCC